rnacentral:rRNA from 1 species
ACUCAAAGGAAUAGACGGGGGCCCGCACAAGCAGCGGAGCGUGUGGUUUAAUUCGACGCAACGCGAAGAACCUUACCAGGGCUUGACAUGCGUCUUACAGUCCCGGAAACGGGAUGACCCGCAAGGGUGUGGCGCACAGGUGCUGCACGGCUGUCGUCAGCUCGUGCCGUGAGGUGUUGGGUUAAGUCCCGCAACGAGCGCAACCCCUGUCGUGAGUUACACGCUCUCACGAGACUGCUGGUGGCAAGCCAGAGGAAGGCGGGGAUGACGUCAAGUCAGCGUGGCCCUGACGUCCUGGGCGACACACACGCUACAAUGGCCGGUACAGCGCGUUGCGACGUCGCGAGGCGAAGCUAAUCGCUCAAAGCCGGCCCCAGUUCAGAUUGCAGGCUGAAACCCGCCUGCAUGAAGGCGGAGUUGCUAGUAACCGCGGGUCAGCACACCGCGGUGAAUACGUUCCCGGGCCUUGUACACACCGCCCGU